rnacentral:rRNA from 1 species
AGUGAACGCUGGCGGUAGGCCUAACACAUGCAAGUCGAACGGCAGCACAGUAAGAGCUUGCUCUUACGGGUGGCGAGUGGCGGACGGGUGAGGAAUACAUCGGAAUCUACUUUUUCGUGGGGGAUAACGUAGGGAAACUUACGCUAAUACCGCAUACGACCUACGGGUGAAAGCAGGGGAUCUUCGGACCUUGCGCGAUUGAAUGAGCCGAUGUCGGAUUAGCUAGUUGGCGGGGUAAAGGCCCACCAAGGCGACGAUCCGUAGCUGGUCUGAGAGGAUGAUCAGCCACACUGGAACUGAGACACGGUCCAGACUCCUACGGGAGGCAGCAGUGGGGAAUAUUGGACAAAGGGCGCAAGCCUGAUCCAGCCACACCGCGUGGGUGAAGAAGGCCUUCGGGUUGUAAAGCCCUUUUGUUGGGAAAGAAAAGCAGCAGGUUAAUACCCCGCUGUUCUGACGGUGCCCAAAGAAUAAGCACCGGCUAACUUCGUG